rnacentral:rRNA from 1 species
CGGAGAGUAAAAAUCAUAAUAUUAGUUGAACGGUUUGGGAAGACCGGCCACAGAGAGUGACAGCCUCGUAAGCGAAAUAUUAUGACUCUUCCAAAUAUAUUCCCAAGUACCACGAAAUAAGUGGAAGUUUGUGGGAAUCCGGGAGAACCAUCUCCUAAGACUAAAUACUCACUCGUGACCGAUAGUGAACCAGUACCGUGAGGGAAAGGUGAAAAGAACCCCUUAUUAAGGGGAGUGAAAUAGUACCUGAAACCAUGUGCUUACAAACGGUUGGAGUCCCUUCGGGGAUGACAGCGUGCCUUUUGGAUAAUGAGCCUACGAGUUACUCGUCAGUUGUUGGUUAAGCUCUUCAGGAGUGUAGCCUUAGCGAAAGCAAGUCCU